rnacentral:lncRNA from 1 species
UGGGGAUUUUAGUAUUCAAGUUGGUAACUCUGAUUAUUGAAUCCUUUCAAUACUUAAUUUCCUCUUAACAGAUUAAAGAAUCUGAAAUAACAGUUACAAUAGAAGAUAACACCACACCCAGAUCAAAACUAUCCUCCUUAAUGCUAAAAGUAGUCACUUUAGACCAACAUCUUUGAUGGCUAGGAUUGCAGUCUGAGCUCCAGGACCAGGAUG